rnacentral:rRNA from 1 species
GGCUAAAGCCCCGACGGGAGGGGAUGGCUCCGCGGCCCAUCAGGUAGACGGCGGGGUGACGGCCCACCGUGCCGACAACGGGUAGCCGGGUUGAGAGACCGACCGGCCAGAUUGGGACUGAGACACGGCCCAGACUCCUACGGGAGGCAGCAGUGGGGAAUCUUGCGCAAUGGGGGGAACCCUGACGCAGCGACGCCGCGUGCGGGACGGAGGCCUUCGGGUCGUAAACCGCUUUCAGCAGGGAAGAGUCAAGACUGUACCUGCAGAAGAAGCCCCGGCUAACUACGUGCCAGCAGCCGCGGUAAUACGUAGGGGGCGAGCGUUAUCCGGAUUCAUUGGGCGUAAAGCGCGCGUAGGCGGCCCGGCAGGCCGGGGGUCGAAGCGGGGGGCUCAACCCCCCGAAGCCCCCGGAACCUCCGCGGCUUGGGUCCGGUAGGGGAGGGUGGAACACCCGGUGUAGCGGUGGAAUGCGCAGAUAUCGGGUGGAACACCGGUGGCGAAGGCGGCCCUCUGGGCCGAGACCGACGCUGAGGCGCGAAAGCUGGGGGAGCGAACAGGAUUAGAUACCCUGGUAGUCCCAGCCGUAAACGA